rnacentral:tRNA from 1 species
GUGGCUUAGUGGUAGAGUGCUUGCCUAACAUGCAUGAAGCCCUGGGUUCGAUUCCUCAGC